rnacentral:misc_RNA from 1 species
GCAGGAUGUUCAGGUAUUGUUAGGGGCUGAGCCAAACCACCUAGAUGCUUUAGAGAUUGCCCGGAGAUUGAGGACAGCAAUGGGUCGCUCAGCAGGACCUCCAAAGCCGCUCUUCUUCCGAUGCACUGGGGGCAUAUGCAGUUCGUGGUGCACCAAAUGCUGGAAUCGGGCCUUGUUUACCAGCCCGGCCAGUCUCCAAGAAGGGGGCAAUUCCAACUGGGGGAUUGGUUGCAUCGGGUGGUAAUAAAGUGGAAAAGCCUCAAGUGAAUUUGAUCAGUGAAAAUGGUCCCGAGACUAAAACCCAGUUGCCAAAACUUAUGUUGAAGCCUUCAAAUGGUUCUUCAAAACCUGGUGCUAAUCUGGCCAAGGAUAGCCAAGGA